rnacentral:rRNA from 1 species
CUUACCACUUUGUGAUUCAUGACUGGGGUGAAGUCGUAACAAGGUAACCGUAGGGGAACCUGCGGUUGGAUCACCUCCUUACCUGAAAGAAGC